CGGGGAUAGCCUUUCGAAAGAAAGAUUAAUACCCGAUGGGAUAAUUAUUCCGCAUGGUUUGAUUAUUAAAGGAUUCCGGUAAAGGAUGGGGAUGCGUUCCAUUAGGUUGUUGGUGAGGUAACGGCCCACCAAGCCUUCGAUGGAUAGGGGUUCUGAGAGGAAGGUCCCCCACAUUGGAACUGAGACACGGUCCAAACUCCUACGGGAGGCAGCAGUGAGGAAUAUUGGUCAAUGGGCGAUGGCCUGAACCAGCCAAGUAGCGUGAAGGAUGACUGCCCUAUGGGUUGUAAACUUCUUUUAUAUUAGAAUAAAGUGCAGUAUGUAUACUGUUUUGUAUGUAUAAUAUGAAUAAGGAUCGGCUAACUCCGUGCCAGCAGCCGCGGUAAUACGGAGGAUCCGAGCGUUAUCCGGAUUUAUUGGGUUUAAAGGGAGCGUAGGUGGAUUGUUAAGUCAGUUGUGAAAGUUUGCGGCUCAACCGUAAAAUUGCAGUUGAAACUGGCAGUCUUGAGUACAGUAGAGGUGGGCGGAAUUCGUGGUGUAGCGGUGAAAUGCUUAGAUAUCACGAAGAACUCCGAUUGCGAAGGCAGCCUGCUAGACUGCAACUGACAUUGAGGCUCGAAAGUGUGGGUAUCAAACAGGAUUAGAUACCCUGGUAGUCCACACAGUAAACGAUGAAUACUCGCUGUUUGCGAUAUACAGUAAGCGGCCAAGCGAAAGCGUUAAGUAUUCCACCUGGGGAGUACGCCGGCAACGGUGAAACUCAAAGGAAUUGACGGGGGCCCGCACAAGCGGAGGAACAUGUGGUUUAAUUCGAUGAUACGCGAGGAACCUUACCCGGGCUUAAAUUGCAGUGGAAUGAUGUGGAAACAUGUCAGUGAGCAAUCACCGACUGUGAAGGUGCUGCAUGGUUGUCGUCAGCUCGUGCCGUGAG
rnacentral:rRNA from 1 species